CGGGAGGCAGCAGUUAGGAAUCUUCCGCAAUGGGCGCAAGCCUGACGGAGCGACGCCGCUUGGAGGAUGAAGCCCUUCGGGGUGUAAACUCCUGAACUGGGGGCGAAAUCCCUGAUGAGGGGGCUGACGGUACCCAGGUAAUAGCGCCGGCCAACUCCGUGCCAGCAGCCGCGGUAAUACGGAGGGCGCGAGCGUUACCCGGAUUUACUGGGCGUAAAGGGCGUGUAGGCGGUUUGGCGCGUCUGGCGUUAAAGACCGCGGCUCAACCGUGGGGGUGCGCUGGAUACGGCCAAGCUAGACGGCUGGAGGGGGCGGUGGAAUUCCCGGAGUAGCGGUGAAAUGCGCAGAUACCGGGAGGAACGCCGAUAGCGAAGGCAGCCACCUGGCCAGUUUGUGACGCUGAGGCGCGAGAGCGUGGGGAGCAAACCGGAUUAGAUACCCGGGUAGUCCACACCCUAAAC
rnacentral:rRNA from 1 species